rnacentral:pre_miRNA from 1 species
AAUAAGUGCAGCCGUGGAAAUUCGUGUCCAACGUUUGACCGUCCGUCUUAUUUGAAAAAUUUAUGAAAUUUUUUUAAAAAAAUAGUCACACAUAAAGUACUAUUCAUAUUUUAUCAUCUAAUAACAAUAAAAAAAUAAUUAUAAAAAAUUUUCAAAUAAGACGAACGGUCAAACGUUGGAGAUGAAUAGUGCAAAACUGCAUUUAUU